GGCAACUUGCUGGGUUUGCUUUUUAAGUGUGCAGGUGUUGUUCUUUUGCUUUUUGCAAUAAAUCUUGCUGCCGGUCACUUUUUUGGUCUGCACUGCCUUUAUGAGCUGUGACACUCACCGCGAAGAUCUGCAGCUUCACUCCUGAGGCCAGUGAGCCCAUGAACCCACCGGGAGGAAUGAACAACUCCAGACAGGAGAAACGAACAAUUCCAGACGCGUGCUGCCUUAAGAGCUGUAACACUCACCACGAAAGUCUGCAGCUUCACUCCUGAAGCCAGCGAGACCAUAAACCCACCAGAAGGAAGAAACUCUGAACACAUCUAAACAUCAGAAGGAACAAACUGUGGACACACCAUCUUUAAGAACUGUAACACUUACCACGAGGGUCCGCGGCUUCAUUCUUGAACCAUUCAACAUAGUGCAUCAGAAGUGAUCUUUCAACACAUCCAGUACAUGAAUAAAUGAAAAAUGCAAGUUACAAAACAUUACAGAGGUAAAAUCAUAAAUAUAGUCCCUGAAUUUCAUGGCCACCUGAGCUUAACAUGAAGCUCAUAUUAAAGCCAU
rnacentral:lncRNA from 1 species